UUUUUUUUUUUUCUAUAUGUUACAAUGACAGUUGUGUCAACUAUGGGUUUGUAUUAGAGCUGAUUGAUAUUUAUUACACUGUAAAAAACAACAUAAAAUUAAUUACUUUUGAAUAAAUAAAAUAGGUUGCAUGAAUUUUAAAAAAAAUUGGAUUGUGAUUUAUAUGGAGAUUCAAUUAAAAAAUCUACUUCAAAACGUAUAUAAAUUUAACAAUCUAAAAACGUAAAAAUAAAAUUUAUUUAUUUUUAUAUUUUUAUUAAUAAUAUUUAUAUUAAUAUUUGAAUUAUUUCAAAGAAUAAAAAUUGAGUUAUAUUGAACUUUAACAGCUAAUUUUUUAAAACUUAAAAUACUAAUACUGUACUUAAACUUAUAUGAACUAUUUUUGAACAUAUUUUGUCAGAAAAAAAUUAAAUCCUUAAAUUAUAUAUAUAUAUAUAUAUAUAUAUAUAGACCUAAGCUUAAAUCUGAGAAAUAUUUUGACUGGUUCAAAAGUGAAAUUAAACAUGAUUGUGAUAUAUGCACAGGAUUGAAAUAAACUAUGAAACUCAAAAUUUAACUUACACGCAAGUGCACAAGAUACAUGUUGAAUCCGAAAAUAACUUUUGUUGGAAAAAAACGUAGAAACUUAUUGCAUUUUCACAAACAAAACAAAUCUGUGUACAUGAAUUAUAAUGAUAAAAUAUAAAUUUUCUCAUGUUUUUUUUUCUUAUUUAUUUUUCACGAAAAAUAAAUAAAUAAAUACAUAUUCUUUUCUUUUCACCUUCACUCCCUUCUUUUUAAAGAAUUUUAUAAUCCUUUUGUAAAUGUGUGUGCAAAUAAAAGGGUGUAUGAAGAGGUGUUUUCAAGUUACUUUUGUGGUGAUGGCGAUUUACAAUUAAAUCAAAUACAAGCACUUCUUUGGUGAAAAUUUCAAAACCCAUGCACCAAACACACACUUUUGGUUGCCACAGGAAAUUCCUCACGUGAUCAAAACAGCAAAGUGGCACACAGAAACAUGAAGAGAGAAAAGAAGCCAUUUUAAUUCAAAUCCCCAACUCAGAAAGGAAAGAGAAAGCGGAAAGAAGUAAAGGAAGUAAUGAAGAAUGAUAGAAAGAGGGAUGGAUACAGUCAGAAGAGAGAGAGACAUGAAAAAGCACACUCAGUGAGUGAGACUAUUAUUAAAAUAAUAAUAUCAAAUAAUAAAACAUUCAAAGUAGCCACAGUGACUGACCCCAUUGGGUCUCCAAUAUUUCCCCUUCAUGGCCUGUAGUAAUUGAUGGAACUUGUCAACAAAUAUGAAGCAUUUCUGGCAUGGGAAUAGACCAAGUGACUCUACUGUAAGUCCACCAUCCCAUCAGCGUUCUACUUCUUCUUCCUCUUCUUCUUCUUAUUAUUAUUAUUGUUUUUGUAUAUAACUUAAAUUGUGUAUAUACACACAAAAAAUCCUCUCUCUCUCUCUCUUUAGAUAUAUAUACAAAGAUAUUUAUUACAAAGAUAUUUCAUUAUAUAUAUAUAUAUAUAUAUAUAUGUCUGUCUGUCUGUCUGUCUGCAGUUCAUUUAGUAUGUUGCAAGGAAGUUGUCAGAUAGAACUCAUGUAAGUGCAUUGUAAUUUAUAAUUGAGUUAUUUUAUUUCAUUUUUUUGGGUUUUCAUAAACAGAGAUAAAUCCCUUGAGACCCCAAGAUUUUAUUAUUUUUGAAUGACCAAUAUGUUUUUCUUUAUGUAUGAGAUAAUUUCUGCACUCUUUUACUCAAAGAAUGAGUAAAAGAGUGUGUUCAGACUUGUUGUCUAGUAAGAAUGAGUAAAAGAGUGUGUGAGAGAGUGUGUUUCAGAAGGCUGAAUUUCAGCACUAACUGCCAUAACAUGCAGAGCUCUGUAUGGGUAUUUUUGAAUACAUCUGUCUAUAUAAUACACAUACACACACACACACACACACACACACAUAUAUAUAUAUAUAUAUAUAGUUCCAUCCCCUCUCUCCUUGUUUCUCUAUUGUCCAUUUGUAACACCUUGAUUUGGUCUCCCUCUCCACAUAGCACUUGAAAUGUGGGUUAUUGUUGUUGUUGAUUAUUGAUUAUUGUUGUGCUGCAAUGAGAAGCAAUCAGGCAAAGGGAGAGAGCAGAGCAACCAGGCAAGGGUAUCCAUUGUACUCACUCAAAAGAGUAUAAUAAUACAAAAAAUAAAAUAAAAUGAUAUACCACUUUGAUCACAUGUUUUUCUGCUUCAAUGUCAUGUGCUGGUUGAAAGGCAUUUGCAAGGUCUCUUGCACUCUCUUCAUCCAUGGACACUACUUAUUUUUAAUCCUUACAUAGAAGACCAAUAGUAAAAAUCAAAUAGUAAUAUAUAUAUAUAUAUAUAUAUAUAUAUCAAAACAUAUCUUUUGUUUCAAGAGUAACAUAUUAAACAGAUUAUUGAAGUGUAGUCUUAGGGACCCCUGUUUUCAUAGUGAAAAUCAAUUAGGGGGUUGAGUUGUAAUUAUGUUCAUGUCUUUUUCUUCCUUUCCUUUCUUCUAUCUUAUGAUUAUGAUAAUAAUAAUAAUAAUAAUAUUAGUAGUGUCAAAAUGUUUUAUGAUACUGAUGAGUUAUUAUGCUAUUGAUGAAAUAUUGCUCACUUGCUUUUAUCUUUCCUUUUGUGACAUAAAAUAGUCUUGCAACAAAGAAUCCUAAACUCCAUACAUCAUGUAAUUAUUUUGUGACACAAACUAUUUUGCACACAAACAGAUACUUUAUUAGGAAGAGGUACGUAAUCACACUUCAUUUUUUUUUUUU
rnacentral:lncRNA from 1 species